rnacentral:lncRNA from 1 species
AUGGAGAGACGGGCAAAGCCACGGAGACGGGCAGCUCGGACAAGACCGAACCAAGCUCUUCUUCAACAGACCAAGACCCCGCGACGGAGGAGUGGGCUGUGGCCGUGUUCGACUUCCCCGGACAGACCGCGGGGACCUGAGCUUCCAGAAGGGGGCGCUCAUCAGAGUAUUAGAGCACGUCGACGCCGAGUGGAGGAGAGGAAGAGUGGAGCAAAGGGAGGGGCUGUUUCCCGCCGCUUUCACCCAAACGUGUGCAGCUCGGCCAAUCACAGCGCAGAGCUCGGACGCCAAAGCCAAGGCCCUGUUCGACUUCGCGGCGGAGAACGAGGAUGAGCUCACGCUGAAGGUGACGAGUAUUUUUAACGUCAAUGAUCAAAUCAAAAUGGCCUGAACUUAACCCCUGGAAUGUCUGCGUAGGCCGGCGACGUUUGACCCAAGUGGAGCCCGUGGACGAGCAGUGGAUUGUGGGAGUUGUAGGCGGCAGACGUGGAAUUGUCCCUAAAAACUACAUUUCCCUCCUCACAUGAUCCGCCUGUCAUUUUUAAAGACACUUUAAGACUUUUUUUCUGCACUACUUUGUAUAACACUGCACAGAGACAUAAGGCGUCCAUUUUGACAUUACCUGCUCAUUUUGUUGAAUGUUUUUUUUUAUCUUUUGGACCAAACUUUAUUUUUGUGUCAUUUAUGCACCUGUUUUUUUUCCAUCGACUCUACACAAGCCACAAAAUAUAAUGGUAACUACAGUAAGAAACCGUGAGAUGCUGAAUUUUUUGACACUAAAUUUAAGAUUUUAUGCAAAUUCGUGUUUUAAUGUUGUAUAUUGUAAAGACAACACUACAAAAUGUGUCUCUGUUGGAGCGCACUACAAUUUAUUUGAUUUUCCUUUUUUAAAAUGGCACCUUAUAUUGAAAAAAUUACAUAACUUUUCCUGACUUGGCAAUAGGUCUGGGUACCAUUACAUAUUUAUUCCAUACCAGUACUUUAACGAUAUUUGGUUUUCUAUACCGAUACCUGAACGAUACUCUUCGAUAUCCGAGAUGGCCAUUGCUCAUUAUGUACGAGAUUAUCUGGGAACCAUAACUCAAGAAGGGGCCAACGGAGGGGGAUAAAACGAAUUUUGCCGUCUGUGGGCAGUGCGCCAAUCCAGCCCUGUAUCGGGUUCAUCUCCAAUGUCAAGGAAUGUGUGAAAAAUGGGGAAUAAUUUGGGGGGAAAUUGUGGCAAAAAUUUGUAAUAAAUUAGGUAAAAAUUAGGGGAAAUAUUCGUACCGUAUUUUUCGCACUAUAAGCCGCACAUAAAAGCCUUUAAUUUUAACAAUGCGCCUUAUAUCCCGCUGCGCCCUAUGUAUCAAUUGCUGGCUGUGUACUGCAUCAUGCCUUUGUUUACAGGUAAACCAGCAUUCAUUACUGCGCCUUGUAUUCCAGUGCACCUUAUUUAUGAAAAUAAACAUUAUCAUUGAUAAUGCGCCUUAUCAGGUGCGCCUAAUGGUGUGAAAAAUACGGUAAUUAAAAAUUGACACAAAUUUGCAGGGAAAAAAUGCAAAAAUUAGAAAAAAAUAAAUAAAAAUGGGGGAAAGAAUAAUUUAUUUGAGCUGAAACACAACCACUUCCUUUAAUUCUCUGCCUGGACCAACAGCAUCAAAUUGGAACCAAAGAUACAAGCUUUUUUCUGGACCUGCUUUUGAUAUGCAGUGCCUCUCGAAAGUACUAAUACACCUUGAACUUUUGCACAUUUUGUCAUGUUUACAACCAUAAACAAAGAUUUUAUUUUGAUUUUUUUACUGAAAGUUCACACACAAGUAACAGACAACUGUGAAGUGAAAGCAAAAUGAUACAUGAUUCUGUUAUUUUUCAAAAAAUAGAAAAGUGAAAACAAGUGCACAAGUAUUCAUACAGCAUGAAUUAAUACUUUGUGGAACCCCCUUUUGCUGCAAUAACAGCAGCAAAUCUUUUGGGGUAUGACUCUACAAGGUUUGCACAUCUAGAGUCUGACAUUUUAGCUCAUUCCUCUUUACAAAACAACUCAAGCUCUGUCAAAUUAGAAGGAGAGCGUUUGUGAACAGCAGUUUUCAGGUCUUUCCACAGAUGUUCAAUAGGAUUUAGGUCAGGACUUUGACUGGGCCAUUCUAACACAUUAAUAUGUUUUUUUUUAAACCACUCCAUUGUAGAUUUAGCUUUGUGUUUAGGGUCAUUGUCCUGCUGGAAGGUGAAUCUCCGCCCCAGCCUCAAUUCUCUUGCUGACUCCAGCAGGUUUUCCUCCAAAAUGUCUCUGUAUUUGGCUCCAUCCAUCUUCCCAACUAUUCUUACAAUCUUCCCAGUCCCCGCUGAGGAAAAGCAGCCCCAUAGCAUGAUGCUCCCCCCACCAUAUUUGACACUGGGGAUGGUGCACUCAGGACGAUGAGCAGUGUUAGGUUUGCUCCAUACAUAACGUUUUGCAUUUGGGACAAAAAGUUAAAUUUUUGUCUCAUCUGACCAAAGCACCUUCUUCCACAUGGUAGCCGUGUCCUCCAUAUGACUUCUAGCAAACAGGAUUUCUUAUGGUCUCCUUUCAAUAAUGGCUUUCUUCUUGCCAGUCGUCCAUGAAGGCCAGAUUUGUGUAGAGUACGACUUAUAGUUGUCCCAUGUACAGAUUCCCCCAGCUCAGCGGCAGUACGUCGCAGCUCCUCCAGAGUUAUCUUAGGGCACUUGGUUACAUUUCUGACCAGUGCUCUCCUUGUUCGGUCUGUUAGUUUAGGUGGACGGCCGUGUCUUGGUAAGUUCGCAGUGGUGCUAUACUCUUUCCAUUUCUGAAUGAUGGAUUGAACAGUGCUCCGUGAGAUGUUCAAAUCUUGGGAAAUCUUUGUAUAACUUAACGCUGCUUUAAACUUCUCCACAACUUUAUCCCUGACCUCUCUGGUGUGCUCCUUGGCCUUCAUGAUGUUGUUUAGUGACCAAUACACUCUGACCAUAGCUCUGAGGCCGUCACAGAACAGCUGGAAUUAUACUGAGAGUAGAUUACACACAGGUGGCCUCUAUUUAAUGAUUAGGGCAAGGUGUGAACAUUCUGCAGUCAUUAGGAAUGUUAUAAAGGCAAUUUAAUGCACUCAGGAAAAUGCUGUAUGAAUACUUAUGCAGGCCCCACUUUUCUAUUUUUUGUAAAAUAACAGAAUCAUGUAUCAUUUUGCUUUCACUUCACAGUUGUCUGUUGUGUGUGAACUUUCAGUAAAAAAUUCAAAAUAAAAUCUUUAUGUUUAUGGUUGUAAACAUGACAAAAUGUGCAAAGGUUCAAGGUGUGUUAGUACUUUCGAGAGGCACUGUAUUGAUUUUUUCGAUACCAGACUAUUAUCGUUUAACGGUACCCAGCCCUACUUGGAGAAUUAUGGAACUAAAUGCUACAAUUUUGGUCGCUUUGUUGUUUUAACUUUCCACUGGAACUUUUUUUUUUUUUUUUUUACCUAAAGAAGGAUUCCAUGACUUUUCUGUUCUGCAAAGGCUUCGACGGGAAACAGUACUUUCUUUCAAAAAAGACUUGAAAUUCAUGCAACACUUCUGGUCACUUUGGUCACACAUUUCAAUAGAUUUAUCUUCAGAGCUACAACUUUGAUUUCGACCAGUAUUUUGAGACUUUUCCGGAUGAUACUUUGCAUUUCGUCAUUGGCACGAGCUCGGCCUUAGCAGAAAAGAAACAACAGUACUGUAUGAGCUGAAGCACAUUUUUGAGACUCUCGGAUUCCUCGAUCACACAUUUCUCAUUUUUAUAACCAAGGAGUAGAUCAUUUAGUUUUGACUCUGUCUUCAGCCUUUUCUCCUGGAUUUGUUACAUCAACUGUGGAUUCUUUUUGUACUUCAGCCAUAAAAGCGUUUGGACGACUUUGAAACAUUGGCUUUUUUUUUUGUAUAUUCUGUACUUUAACAUACAAUCAUUCUAGAAACAGGAUUAAUCUCUCUCAAAAUAUCAUCUAAUUGCGUAUUUGAAAGUCAAACAAAUGUACAAUUGAUGUUAUUUUGUAACAUGACACUAAUUUGUUAAGAGCUGUUACUGUAAACAUGCUACUGCCCUCUAAUGGGUAACAGUGGAAGCACAACUUUUUGUUUUAAACUUUUCUACGGUACCUUUGAAAAGUAUGUAUGAUUUCCUCGUGAAUCUCUGUAUUUUUUAAACAGUGUUAAAUGUCUCACCAAAUUCACCCGAACCCUUUCAACGCUCUUAGUAUUUAUAGACAGAAGUAUAAUGUAUCGCAAAGCUCUACUUUUCAAUGACUGACGUGAUAAAACCAAUAGCCUUUGGGGAUAUUAUCGAUGUAACCAGGCAUUCCUGAUUUUUACCGCUAAUAAAAAGUACAGCUAUUGCCCAAGUGUUUUCAUCUUUACAUAAUGGACAAAUGUGGAAUUUCCUUACUGAAUUGUUAAUAGCGCUCUUGUGGCCUUUUUAUCGUCACUUUUUUUGUUACCUUUUCUUCUUGCUUUUGUC